rnacentral:rRNA from 1 species
AGUGAACGCUGGCGGCAGGCCUAACACAUGCAAGUCGAACGGCAGCACAGGAGAGCUUGCCCUCUGGGUGGCGAGUGGCGGAGGGGCGAGGAAUACAUCGGAAUCAGCCCAGCGGAGGGGGUGAACGUAGGGAAACUUACGCUAAUACCGCAUACGUCCUGCGGGUGAAAGAGCGGGAGUGCAAGACCUUUCGCGAUUGGAUGAGCCGAUGUCGGAGUAGCUAGUUGGCGGGGGAAUGGGCCACCCAGGCGGCGAGCCGAAGCUGGUCCGAGGGGGUGACCCGCCACACUGUAUCUGAGACACGGCCCACACUCCUAGGGGGGGCCGCAGUGGGGACUCUUGCGCGAUGGACGAGUGCCUGAUCCAGCAAUACCGCGUGAGUGCUGAACGCCUUCUGCUUGUAGAGCCCUGUUGUUCGGAAAGAAGUAAUGCAGUCUUAUCCCCUGGGAUGAUGACGGUACCGAAAGAAUAAGCUCCGGCUAACUUCGUG